rnacentral:rRNA from 1 species
UACGGGGGGGGCAAGCGUUGUUCGGAAUUACUGGGCGUAAAGGGCUCGUAGGCGGCCAACUCAGUCAGACGUGAAAUCCCUCGGCUUAACCGGGGAACUGCGUCUGAUACUGGAUGGCUAGAGGUUGGGAGAGGGAUGCGGAAUUCCAGGUGUAGCGGUGAAAUGCGUAGAUAUCUGGAGGAACACCGGUGGCGAAGGCGGCAUCCUGGACCAAUUCUGACGCUGAGUGAGCGAAAGCCAGGGGAGCAAACGGG